GAUGAACGCUGGCGGCGUGCCUAAUACAUGCAAGUCGAGCGGUAAGGCCCUUCGGGGUACACGAGCGGCGGACGGCUGAGUAGCGCGUAGGAACGUACCCCAAAGUGAGGAAUAAGCACCAGAAAUGGUGUCUAAUACCGCAUGUGGUCUUCGGAUUAAAGCCUUCGGGCGCUUUGGGAGCGGCCUGCGUAUGAUUAGCUUGUUGGUGAGGUAAUGGCUCACCAAGGCGACGAUCAUUAGCUGGUCUGAGAGGAUGAUCAGCCAGACUGGGACUGAGACACGGCCCAGACUCCUACAGGAGGCAGCAGUAGGGAAUUUUCCACAAUGGACGAAAGUCUGAUGGAGCAACGCCGCGUGCAGGAUGAAUGCCUUCGGGUUGUAAACUGCUUUUAUAGGUGAAGAUUAUGACGGUAACCUAUGAAUAAGGAUCGGCUAACUCCGUGCCAGCAGCCGCAGUAA
rnacentral:rRNA from 1 species